CCGGAAGGUGCGGCUGGAUCACCUCCUUUCUAAGGAGCAUCUGGCAUUCGGGUUUCGGUUCGAGUGUCCAGGCGCCAGUUCAGCACCGAAUGUGUGUUGCUGGUAGCUCAUGGGUGGAACAUUUGACUUGGUGUCAGGCAUGAUGUGUCCGGGUUUAGUACGUGGUUUGCCACUGGAACGAUCUGGUUCGGAGUUGUUGAUACAUGCACGCUGUUGGGUCCUGAGGGGCCGGGCGCUGACGGGGGUCUGUGGAUUCUUUGUUGGUGUUUGUUCCUCGAGGGCCUGUCUUGGCGCCGGUGUUUCGGUGGCUGGGGUGGGUACCGCCCGUACUUUGAGAACUACACAGUGGACGCGAGCAUCUUCCAUGCAACUCUUUGGGGUUGUGUGGUGAAGAUGAUCUUAAAGAUCAUUAGUCAAUUUUUUGACGAUUCAACUCAUGUGAUUUCAAGUCUUUAAGAGCAAAC
rnacentral:misc_RNA from 1 species